CUACGGGGUGCAGCAGUGGGGAAUCUUAGACAAUGGGCGCAAGCCUGAUCUAGCCAUGCCGCGUGAGCGAUGAAGGCCUUAGGGUUGUAAAGCUCUUUCAGCGAGGAAGAUAAUGACUGUACUCGCAGAAGAAGCCCCGGCUAACUCCGUGCCAGCAGCCGCGGUAAUACGGAGGGGGCUAGCGUUGUUCGGAAUUACUGGGCGUAAAGCGCACGUAGGCGGAUCAGAAAGUCAGAGGUGAAAUCCCAGGGCUCAACCUUGGAACUGCCUUUGAAACUCCUGAUCUUGAGUUCGAGAGAGGUGAGUGGAAUUCCGAGUGUAGAGGUGAAAUUCGUAGAUAUUCGGAGGAACACCAGUGGCGAAGGCGGCUCACUGGCUCGAUACUGACGCUGAGGUGCGAAAGCGUGGGGAGCAAACAGGAUUAGAUACCCGCGUAGUC
rnacentral:rRNA from 1 species